UAGGAAGCCGAAAGGUGACCGACCUUCGGGAGCUUGCACAGGUGCUGCAUGGCUGUCGUCAGCUCGUGUCGUGAGAUGUUCGGUUAAGUCCGCUAACGAGCGCAACCCUCGCUGUGUGUUAUAUGUGUCACACGGGACUGCCGGUCUUAAGCCGGAGGAAGGUGGGAUGAUGUCAAGUCAGCAUGGCCUUUAUAUCCUGGGCUACACACACGCUACAAUGGCCAACACAAUAGGUUGCUAAGCCGCGAGGUGGCGCCAAUCCAUAAAGUUGGUCUCAGUUCAGAUUGUAGGCUGCAACCCGCCUGCAUGAAGAUGGAGUUGCUAGUAACCGCAGGUCAGCUAUACUGCGGUGAAUACGUUCCCGGGCUU
rnacentral:rRNA from 1 species